rnacentral:tRNA from 1 species
ACUUGGGUGGCUUAGUCGGUUAAGCAUCUGACUUUGGCUCAGAUCAUGAUCUCAUGGUCUAGUCUGUGAGUUCCAACCCCAGGUC